rnacentral:lncRNA from 1 species
GCGGCUGCCCAGCCCGGCGGAGGAUGCGCCCGCAGCGCCCGGGAGCCGAUCCCGCUGCCGGCCCGGGCUGCUGCGAGCCUCCGACACUAGAAACCAGCCGCUUGAAUGUCUGUGCAAUUUUCUGACAGAUGUUGAGUCUCAUGUUGUGCUUUGACACAAGCAUGAGGGUUUUCGCUCUGUUCACGCUCUUGAGGUUUUUUGAAAGAGUUAUACUGAAAACUUAUGGCCAAGUCGUGACUGUUUUGACAAUGUACUGUUGUAGCUGACAUAACAGCCUCUUUCUUUAAGCACACAUGGGAUGAAGGGUACACCUGGACUAGACACAGCUCUGAGGAAAGGAACCCUGCCAGGAAUGUCCUUCAAAAACCUCUAGACUAGAUCAUGGCCAAGGAACAACUAGGGGCUUACACCUAGGCACUUCUUCACUACAGCUCUGCUGUAAUUCAAAAAAGUGUAACAUUGUAAGAAAGAGGAAAUUUGUCAAAAUGAAGAGAAGAGCAGUUAAGACUCUCAACUCUGUACAGGCACCAAGGAACCUAUUUAAAGAUAUCAUAGCUGAAGUACAUAUUUUCUCUUAAGAAAUACUUCAGAAAGGGCAAAGGAAGCUGGUGUAACUAACCAGCAGGGUAAGUAAGGCUGUUAGAAGCAAAAAUCUAUCUUUGAAACUGCUGAAGUCAUGUUCAAAUUACACAAGAAGAAAGAGUUACAAACUCUGCAAGGUUAAAUGUGAAAACAUACUAAGGCAGACCAAAAAGCAUCUGAAGAAUACCUAACAAAGGAAUCAAAACUAAUAAUCCUUUUCACUACAAAACACAUCAGGAGCAGGGGGUUUGCCAGAAUCUGUAAGUCUAGUUUGUUUUCAGGGCAUAAAAGAGUACUCAGAGAAGUCAAGGUCAUUGCAGAGAAGCUAAGUGAACCCUUUGCAUUGGUGUUCGCUGUGGAAGGAACUGGGAAGAUUCCAAAAUCAGAACCCUUAUUGAAGAGAUUAU